rnacentral:rRNA from 1 species
AUUGAACGCUGGCGGCAUGCCUUACACAUGCAAGUCGAACGGUAACAGGCCGCAAGGUGCUGACGAGUGGCGAACGGGUGAGUAAUGCAUCGGAACGUGCCCAGUUGUGGGGGAUAACUGCUCGAAAGAGCAGCUAAUACCGCAUACGACCUGAGGGUGAAAGCGGGGGAUCGCAAGACCUCGCGCAAUUGGAGCGGCCGAUGUCAGAGUAGGUAGGUGGUGGGGUAAAGGCCUACCAAGCCGACGAUCUGUAGUUGGUCUGAGAGGACGACCGACCACACUGGGACUGGGACACGGCCAAGACUCCUACGGGAGGCAGCAGUGGGGAAUUUUGGACAAUGGGCGCAAGCCUAAUCCAGCAAUGCCGCGUGCAGGAAGAAGGCCUUCGGGUUGUAAACUGCUUUUGUCAGGGAAGAAAUCCUCUGGGUUAAUACCCCGGGGGGAUGACGGUACCUGAAGAAUAAGCACCGGCUAACUACGUGCCAGCCGCCGCGGUAA